rnacentral:siRNA from 1 species
UCAACUUGGAGGUGCACAGUGGU